rnacentral:rRNA from 1 species
GUUGGUGAGGUAACGGCUCACCAAGGCGACGAUCCCUAGCUGGUCUGAGAGGAUGACCAGCCACACUGGAACUGAGACACGGUCCAGACUCCUACGGGAGGCAGCAGUGGGGACUAUUGCACAAUGGGCGCAAGCCUGAUGCAGCCAUGCCGCGUGUAUGAAGAAGGCCUUCGGGUUGUAAAGUACUUUCAGCGGGGAGGAAGGUGUUGCGGUUAAUAACCGCAGCAAUUGACGUUACCCG